GGAUUGUGGCUCAGUGGCAGAGCGGUUGCCUUGCACGUCUGAGGCCCUGGGUUCAAUCCUCAGCACCA
rnacentral:tRNA from 1 species